GACGAACCGUGCGAACGUUAUUCGGAAUCACUGGGCUUAAAGCGCGUGUAGGCGGGACGGCACGUCGGUCGCUGAAAUCCCCCGGCUCAACCGGGGAACGGGCGCCGAUACGACCGCCCUGGAGGGACGUAGGGGGACCUGGAACUUCCGGUGGAGCGGUGAAAUGCGUUGAGAUCGGAAGGAACGCCCGUGGCGAAAGCGAGGUCCUGGACGUUUUCUGACGCUGAGGCGCGAAAGCUAGGGGAGCAAACAGG
rnacentral:rRNA from 1 species